rnacentral:tRNA from 9 species
UAAUAGUUCAGUGGUAGAAUAUCACGUUGUGGCCGUGAAGAGCUCAGUUCGAAUCUGAGU